rnacentral:rRNA from 1 species
AGAUUGAACGCUGGCGGCAGGCCUAACACAUGCAAGUCGAGCGGUAGAGAGGUGCUUGCAUCUCUUGAGAGCGGCGGACGGGUGAGUAAUGCCUAGGAAUCUGCCUAGUGGUGGGGGAUAACGUUCGGAAACGGACGCUAAUACCGCAUACGUCCUACGGGAGAAAGCGGGGGACCUUCGGGCCUCGCGCCAUUAGAUGAGCCUAGGUCGGAUUAGCUAGUUGGUGAGGUAAUGGCUCACCAAGGCGACGAUCCGUAACUGGUCUGAGAGGAUGAUCAGUCACACUGGAACUGAGACACGGUCCAGACUCCUACGGGAGCAGCAGUGGGGAAUAUUGGACAAUGGGCGAAAGCCUGAUCCAGCCAUGCCGCGUGUGUGAAGAGGUCUUCGGAUUGUAAAGCACGUUUUAAGGUUGGGAGGUAAAGGUUUGUAAACUUUAAGUACGUUAGACUAACUUUAGACCGUUAACCGACAGAAUAAGCACCGGCUAACUUCGUGCC